GACGAACGCUGGCGGCGUGCUUAACACAUGCAAGUCGAACGGAAAGGCCUCUUUCGUGGGGUACUCGAGUGGCGAACGGGUGAGUAACACGUGAGUAACCUGCCCUUGACUUUGGGAUAAAUUCAGGAAACUGGGGCUAAUACCGGCUAGGAGCUCCUUCUGCCUGGUUGGGGUUGUAAAGUUUCGGCGGUUUGGUAUGGACUCGCGGGGUAUCCGCUUGUCAGUGGGGUAGUGGCUUACCAAGGCGUUGCCGUGUAGCCGGUCUGUGAGAGUGCGCGGCGACAGUGGGACCGAGAGGAGGCACAGACAGCGAAGGGAGGCAGAUGGGGGGAAGAUUGACCAAGGGGUGGAGGCCGGAUGAAGAAACGCCGUGGGCGGGAUGACGGUCUUAGGGUUGAAAAACGCAUUCGCUCAUGACGAAGCUUUGUGUGACGGUAGUGGGUAAAGAAGCACCGGCUAACUACGUG
rnacentral:rRNA from 1 species